rnacentral:lncRNA from 1 species
GGCAAAGCCCCUUCCCUCUCUUCGGAGGUCGGCACCACUUUUCUUCCAAACGGUAUUUCCAAAAGGAGCACAACUUGAAGGAAGGAGCCCGGGUGAGAAAAGUCGAGUCUUUGACGGUUAGUCCCCCUCACGGGGAGCAGCGUCAAGAAAAGACACACAUGUCAGGCAGGUGUACAAAGGCAGAGAAGGACGGGGAGAGAGAGAGAACCGGGGAAUGGGAGGCGAAGGCAGGAAAGAAGGAGACAGAGGCGGGAGGUGCGGCACGGACUUGAAAGGACGCGCAGGAUGUGGACGAAAGAAGAGAGUCAAGGAGAGGGAGAAGAAGGGAGGCAGUGGGGAAAGAAAGGGAAGAGAUAAAGACUGGAGGCGGCGGGAAGGAUGCAAGAAUGCCCAGGCGCGGGGCCGCG